GUGCUCACUUCAGCAGCACAGAUACUAAAAUUGGAAUGAUACAGAGAUUGGCAUGGCCCCUGCACAGGAAUGACAUGCAAAUUCAUGAAGCGUUCUGUAUUUUG
ensembl:snRNA U6 U6 spliceosomal RNA